CGUGUAGGCGGUCGGUCAAGUCCGAUGUGAAAGCCCGGGGCUCAGCCCCGGAAGUGCAUCGGAAACUAGCCGGCUGGAGCGCGAUAGAGGAGGGUGGAAUUCCUGGUGUAGCGGUGAAAUGCGUAGAUAUCUGGAGGAACACCGGCGGCGAAGGCGGCCCUCUGGAUCGUUGCUGACGCUGAGACGCGAAAGCGUGGGGAGCAAACAGGAUUAGAUACCCUGGUAGUCCACGCUGUAAACGAUGGGUACUAGGUGUUCGGGGUAUUGACCCCCUGAGUGCCGCAGCUAACGCAUUAAGUACCCCGCCUGGGGACUACGGCCGCAAGGUUAAA
rnacentral:rRNA from 1 species